UACAGACGGUCCAAACGUUAUUCGGAAUCACUGGGCUUAAAGAGUUCGUAGGCGGUCAGGAAAGUGGGGUGUGAAAGCCCUCGGCUUAACCGAGGAAUUGCGCUCCAAACUCCCUGACUUGAGGAGGCUAGAGGUAAGCGGAACUGAUGGUGGAGCGGUGAAAUGCGUUGAUAUCAUCAGGAACACCGGAGGCGAAGGCGGCUUACUGGGGCCUUUCUGACGCUGAGGAACGAAAGCUAGGGGAGCGAACGGGAUUAGAUACCCCGGUAGUCCUAGCCGUAAACGGUGAGCACUGGGCCGGAGUUCUGCAUAGGAUUUCGGCCGUAGCGAAAGUGUUAAGUGCUCCGCCUGGGGAGUAUGGUCGCAAGGCUGAA
rnacentral:rRNA from 1 species